rnacentral:rRNA from 1 species
CCUACGGGUGGCAGCAGUGAGGAAUAUUGGUCAAUGGACGAGAGUCUGAACCAGCCAAGUAGCGUGAAGGAUGACUGCCCUAUGGGUUGUAAACUUCUUUUAUAUGGGAAUAAAAUGUUCCACGUGUGGGAUUUUGUAUGUACCAUAUGAAUAAGGAUCGGCUAACUCCGUGCCAGCAGCCGCGGUAAUACGGAGGAUCCGAGCGUUAUCCGGAUUUAUUGGGUUUAAAGGGUGCGUAGGUGGAUUGUUAAGUCAGUUGUGAAAGUUUGCGGCUCAACCGUAAAAUUGCAGUUGAAACUGGCAGUCUUGAGUACCGUAGAGGUGGGCGGAAUGCGUGGUGUAGCGGUGAAAUGCUUAGAUAUCACGAAGAACUCCGAUUGCGAAGGCAGUUCACUGGACUGCAACUGACACUGAGGCUCGAAAGUGUGGGUAUCAAACAGGAUUAGAUACCCGAGUAGUC